CGUAUUCACUGCGCGCCUUGAUGUGCCCAAACGUAUCAUAAGGCACGCGGUGAAUGCCAA
rnacentral:pre_miRNA from 1 species